AUGCAGCCUGCUUCUGCAAAGUGGUACGAUCGAAGGGACUAUGAAUCAUUGAAUUUUGUGUUGAAGACAGUAAACAUGUUAAUGUAAACUUUGAAAAAUCCAAACUUACUUUCAGUUGUCUUGGAGGAAGCGAUAAUUUUAAGCAUUUAAAUUAAAUUGAUCUUAUUCAUUGUAUUAAUCCAAAUGAUUCCAAGCAUAAAAGAACGGACAGAUCGAUUUUAUUUUAUUUAUUUAUUUUUUUGCGAAAAGGAUCCGGCCAGUCAUGGCGUAGGUUAACAAAGGAAAGGGCAAAGCUUAAUUGGCUCAGUGUGAACUUCAAUAAUUGGAAAGACUGGGAGGAUGACUCAGAUGAAGACAUGUCGAAUUUUGACCAUUUCUCUGAGAUGAUGGAUCACAUGGGUGGUGAUGAGGAUGUAGAUUUACCAGAAGUAGAUGGAGCAGAUGAUGAUUCACAAGACAGUGAUGAUGAAAAGAUGCCAGAUCUGGAGUAA
rnacentral:lncRNA from 1 species